CCGUGCCCGCGCUUCACACAAAGGCGGCGGUUGGGCGUGAGCCGCAUGCGCAGUUGGGGGUUUGCGCACCCACAUGGUGGUGGGAGGGUUGAAUGCGGAGGAGCGUCCCCUGUGAGGGAGUUUGUAGAUGUGCAAGGGCAAGCGAUGGAGGCCGGUGUGCCUCAGGGGCAGGAGGUGGGAGGUCUCCUCCUGAGGUGCCACUGGUGCUAUGGAGGGGCUGCUGCUGAGCGUCCUGAGGGAGGGAGAGCGGUGCUGGCCUGGGAAAGGAGACUCAGAGCAGGUUGGAGGUGGUCAGCUGAGGGUGGAGGGUGGAAGGGCUCUCCUGAGCAGCACUGAGCGCUGUGGGCCUUCCCUCCUGCUGCCCAGUGCAAAGAGCCUUGCCCUGCUGCUAAUCCGUGUGAGGAGCUCUUUGGGGUCUUGUGAUUUCGCUCCUGUAACGUUUGGCUUAUAAACCCUGUUGCUAGCGAGGCUUUGUGACCUGAAAAAGGGGGAACGCUAUAGGGAAAAAAAAAAAAAGUAACGGGUGUAAUACUGUAUGCUUCAUAAUUGUGAAGAUGAUUGUAUUCAUCUUAGGAAAAACAGCUGUUUGUGCUGCAGGAAAGGAUGGAGGGGCUGCUGUGGGCUCUAAGCUGAACAAGCAUCAAUGUCUUGUGUUGGAGAGGUGAAUGCUAUGCAGGUCUGUGUAAGAAGAAUACUGCUAAUAAAACACAGACGUCCUGCUAUGCUGAGCUGUGCUAAAACAGUAUGUCCGGUACUGGGCUCCAUGUGGGAGGAAAUUUGUAUGAUUUGGAGAAAAAAGUAAAAAUAACUAUCAGAGUCUUUGAACACGUGACUUACAGAGUGAGGGAGAACAGAAAGCCACAGACAUGGUAAGUCUUCAAAUAGAUAAAAGGCUGCUGCCAUGAGGAGAGGGACAAUUUGUUCUCUUAAGUCCACUGGGGGUAGGGUGAGGAGCCAUAAGCUAAAAUAACAGCAAAGCAGAUCUAGGUUACAGUGAAAAAAAUCUUCCAUGAUUCUUCUGAACUAGUCGAGCACAGUGUUGGACUGACUAGGCAAGAUGUGGGCUCUUCUUAGAGGUUUUAAGAAUAGAUCAGACAAAUACUUCUCAUAAUGGAUGAAGUACAAUAUAAGAUCUUGCAUUCGGGAAGGAGACUUCGUUUAAUGGGCUCCUAAACCUCUGUUGCUGUGGUUCUGUAGCCCUGAGAUACGUAAUCAUUGCAGCCCUUAUUGGCUUAACGGUAAAACUAGUUCAGCUGCACAGAUUAAAGAUGCUCAACUAGGCCAAGUAAAAUUACGUAACGGGAAUGAAAUUGUGUUUAAGCAUGGCUUUAUGUUUUCAAAAUGAUUUUCACCAGAUGGGGUGAAAGUAUCUAAAUGAGGAACUCUGCAGAGCUUUUUGAGCAUUAAAGGCUAAGGCCUCAUCUUCAGCAUAGCUUUCCAGAGAAUGUUCCACCUUUGUUCCUGUGGAACUGCUGAUGCAAUUAAACUGUGGUAAUCCAGAAAGGAUGCCAAUGUUUUUUGAGAUUAAGGCCUCGCAAGCCAAGCCAAACUGAUUUUAAUAAAAGCAGUUUAGGUACGAUAUGACCUUAAGAAAUAUCUGGAAAAAAGAAAAAAAAAUAAAGCUGGGACAUCAUUUUCAUCCUUUUUUCUUUUGGCAGCGAGUGCAUACAGCUGGUAACAGCUAGUCGAAAAGUGGGUUGCUAUAUACGCAAACAGGUAUUUGCAGAUGAUAGUGCUUAGUUUGAGAGACAUUCUAGAUGUGUGUUAUUCACCCCAGUAUUUGAAAAGUUAGCUGUUAGCAUGCUUUCCUGAGAUUGUAUGCCUGAGUGCAUUUGUUCCAGUAGUCCAAGCAGGACUUGGUGAAUAAUGGCAAGGUGAUGGAUGAUGGUAGUGUUUUACUCUAGCUUCUGCAGAAAAUCUCCACUAGCAAAGAAAUAGUGGCAGUAUUUCUUACUUUUUUUAGAUUGACAGUGAAAUUGUACGCAAGUGUUUUAAACGCUGUCUCAUUUGAGACAUUCACUAAGAGCCAGCCCUGCUGUUUCCUGAGAAUAUCUUCCACAGCCGGCAAGAUUUCAGGUCUUGCAGCUUGUGCUCUGCUGCCACAGGAGCUGUGCCCACCUCCCAUGUUCAGUUUGCUUUUUCUGUGCUUCUCUAUCAUCCUGUUACAGCACCCCAUGGCAUAUAGCAUCUUAGGUUUCAGCAGCAUAAUUGUUUUGCUGUCGCACUGUGAAUGAUCUCUAUACAAUAACCUUUAUUAAGACUUUGCAUUACAGCUACUAACAAGAGGAAUUAUUUGCAAGAGAUAGCCCAGAUCCCACCUUCUCCAAAUCCUGGCAGUGCAGGUAUUCUUCCAGUACUGAUGGUGUCUUCUAGUAUUCAAGGUGCGUGUUGUGGUCCUGCUCAUGACACAGCUCUUUUACCAUGCAGGAAUCCUCUGAGGAAGGCUGCCUUUCUAAAGAUUGGAUCUGCAGUCCAUUGGAAUUGAUGGAAGUGAUCCCAGCUGACUUGGGCAGUGCUAGGUCAGACCAUAAACCAGAUGGUGGUAUGCUUGCUUAGUACCACUGGGACACUCAAAGGGAAGUAGAUCUUGCUGUGGGCUGCAUUCCAUGGAGAACUCCCAGCGCCAUGGAAACAACUAACGAAACUAUAGCUUCAGUGGAGGCAGAAUGUUAUACUGCCCUUUUUAAGGUCAAGAGUGAGGUCCUUCACUCUUGUCUGAAGCCUCUGCUUAGUGCUGCCAGCGCAGACCUGGACUGGUUCAGCUGUCUGCUUUGCUUCUUGGAGCCUCACAGCCAACUUCACCCUGAAGGAAGGGGGGCAGAAAUACCUUAAUUUAAGACUUCCAAUGGCCCUGCUCUGAAGCACAGUUGCCCUCCAGCUAACUGAAAAACGUGGAAUCAAUGUGAGAAAUAACUCUGAAGCUCACACAUUGGCAGUGUAUGUCAGAAGGGCCCAAGAUGUCAGAAGCAGACUGCAUGGGACCAUCAGCGAAACAGUCCAUAGCAAAUACACCUCCUGUGUGUUUUAGCAGUGGUGGUCUCCAGCCCUUCCGAGCAGAACAUCACAUUGCUGAGCUCAUCCUCCAGCACCCACUUGGUGCUACUCAGGACAGCGCUUCCGUAGCCAGGAUCCAGCUCGGUAGGACAGUGCAUCUUUGCUCUCUUCAUUUGGCACGAGCACACCUCAACACCCAGCAACUUUCCUCAUUCCUACUGAAGGGAUGGGAAUCCAGUGUUCACUGUAUGUACCCUGCUACACCUUCUGCCUCUGAGAGCAGCAAGCCUCCAUUUGCAAGAAGUGUGUUUGCUGCUUUUGUGGAAUUUAUUAAAGAUUUCUUUAAUAAAACUGUUGUUAUCAUUGA